rnacentral:tRNA from 1 species
AGUCCUAUAGUCAAUUUAUGAUAUUAGAUUGCAAAUCUAAAGUAGUUAAAAACUAGGAUUU